UGAGGAAUAUUGGACAAUGGGCGCAAGCCUGAUCCAGCCAUGCCGCGUGCAGGAUGACGGUCCUAUGGAUUGUAAACUGCUUUUGUACGAGAAGAAACACUCCUUCGUGAAGGAGCUUGACGGUAUCGUAAGAAUAAGGAUCGGCUAACUCCGUGCCAGCAGCCGCGGUAAUACGGAGGAUCCAAGCGUUAUCCGGAAUCAUUGGGUUUAAAGGGUCCGUAGGCGGUUUAGUAAGUCAGUGGUGAAAGCCCAUCGCUCAACGGUGGAACGGCCAUUGAUACUGCUAAACUUGAAUUAUUAGGAAGUAACUAGAAUAUGUAGUGUAGCGGUGAAAUGCUUAGAGAUUACAUGGAAUACCAAUUGCGAAGGCAGGUUACUACUAAUGGAUUGACGCUGAUGGACGAAAGCGUGGGUAGCGAACA
rnacentral:rRNA from 1 species